rnacentral:lncRNA from 1 species
AAAAAAAAAAAAAAAAACCUUGUGGCUUCGUGCUUUGGUGGUGUCGUUGUAGUUUCUGCAAGUUUGGUGAGGCGCCCCCGCGUCCUCUUUCUCUCUGUAACAAGUGACACUUGGGCGUUUUGGCCCCUUUAAAUGAAAGAUUCAGGCCCCCCUUGAAAAUUCAAAAAAAAAGAUGGCUAGUUGUUUUCGUGAUACUACGUGUACAUUGUUACUAUGUGAGAGCUGUUUCACUCUGUCAGAAAAGUUUUGCAAGUUAUCUUGUAUAGGACGAUCUGCGGACAAUAACUUAUGAUUGUGGUGAAGGCCUGACAAUAUCAUAAUCAUGGUAAACAUAACUUUUGACUUGCUGCCUCAAAAACACAGACCCAAAAGCGAGGUCACAUACAUAGAGCUAUGGCCAUAUUUGUAGUAGCAAUAUGUAUGCAGCAAAUAGUAUCAUUUUAGAAUGAACCAAGCGGGGUGUGGAAUUCAGGGGUGGUGUGUGCCGUGCACGUACCCUGUGAAGAGGAGGAAGCCUUUGGGGGUCGACGUUUCCUUUUCAGGUGAAAAGAAAGAAAGGAGGGAAGCUUUGAAUCCCCGACAUAGCGACCCUGGCCUGGAUUCCGAUUCCCGUCGCCUACCACUUGACCGGGGUAGCGAAUCCGGAUCCCAGAGCUUUUGGGCUCCAAGAUUUUAGAAUCUAGCCAGCCAGCCGAUGAUGAUGCAGUGACGGAAUCCAGUCCGAUCCAAGGCUACUUGUAAGGCAUCCAUAGACAGGGAUCAGUCAUUCAAGCAGCUGGCAGACAAGAUACCAUGUACCGACUAAUGAUGGCCCCAAAAGCGUUCCUACUUUGCUUAAUAUAUACUUUGCGAUAGAUAGAUGAUGUUUGUACUGGCCUCAACAUCAGAUGCAUGGGUGAAUUUCUUCCAAGAAUCAAAAACCAUACGUGCAGAUAGAAAGCUAAUCCUAUACAAGAUAGUGUGGUUCUGCACAAUAUGAGAUGCCUCCCUCGUUUUAUCUUCCUUUUCACAACAAGGAGACAGCACACUGUGGUGAAACCAAGGAUCUCCGAAUUCACGGACCCCGACCCUAAACUAUAUACUAAUAACGAAAUAUCAAACUGCUGACAGAAGGAGAAAGAUCUGUGCCACGUGGGCACGUGUCUGUCUGAUUUUGUUUUCCUCAAACACGCCCUGUGGCUCGUCGUCAUUUUCAUUCAAAAGAACGGGCUAAGAUAGUGCAGAUUGUAACGACUGUAUAUAGGCUAAAAUUAUGUUUUUACUAAUGUAGACGAACUGUAUUGCGACGGCCUGCCUUAGAGCAUACUCGCAAAAUCUGAAAGAGAAAAUGCCUCCUGUAGGAAGCAGAAAAAACCUACAGAAAGUUUUUUAUUUUUCGGAUGAUUGUUUUUGACAAAAAUAAAUAAAUAAACAUGUAGGAAGCAGAAAAAACCUACAGAAAGUUAGUUCUUGUGUACAAGAUAAGAUCAAGGAAAAAAAUAGCGCACUAUACAAAGUAGCGCCGCCCCUUAAAUUACGCUGUUAGUGUGCCAUAUAGCGCUAUAGCAUUGCUAUUAGCGAAAUAUUGUACACUGAUUUAUUUAGCGAAACAAUUCUUACACGCUAUAGCGUGCUAUUAGGGGCGCUAUAGUCCGCUAUUCUUUUAGUGGAUAAGAUACAAAUUCUGCGCAAUAUGUGACGCCCCUCUCCUUUUAUGUGCAUGAGACAUCACUGUGGUCAGUCAAACUUUCCCGGAAGAAGCAACACGUUCGAAACAAACUAAUCUUCGAUUUUCGAUCUGCAUGAUUAAUUAUAAAUCCAAAUUAAAUAGGUAGUAUUACUAUAGCAUAUCCAAUUUGUAACAAUCGUAUAUCAGAUAUGCUUGUGAUAGCAUGCUUUUUGGAAGUUAACCCAUGGAUGACCGUGGAACAGUAAAAACUGAUUGCAGAAAUAUAUGAAAUAAGUAUGCAGCUUAUAGGUAGCAUCUUCCCGAAAAGCUUGUUGCUCCGAUUGUCUGAAAUAUGACGGGGAAUCCUGCAUUUUUCCCAUUGCUUUUAUGCAUAUAUGAUUCUGAUGAAGAGAUGUCCGGUGUGAACAGAUGGUGAAUCAGUCCACACGCUGCAAGAAUUAAACGCAAGUUGCGCCCGCCGCCCCGGUACAGUCCAGUGCAUUAACCAAGGAGCCAGGAGCAAGAUUGCAUUCUGUCAAUUACCUUUCCAAGACUAUUGUAGAUGGAAAGAUAACACACAUAGAGAUAGAUAUAUUCCUUUGGCCCACGGAGCUACGAGGGUGUUCAUCGCCUCUUUGGAAUCUGUUGGUCGACCGGGUGGCGGAGAACGCGUGACAUGUAGAAAUAGAGGCUCUUAGCCCACAUCGCUGCCACCUUUUCCAAAUGGAUGAAUGAUGCUCCCUAAAUUGCAUGGUCAAGCAAAACACUCGGUGUGACUUCCGAGACCACUUCUCAAACAACGGCGCAAAUUAACCCUUCAUUUUAAGAGAUUUAAUUAUCCGUCACUCGUAAUAUGGAAUAAAAGAUUCAGAGGCAUUUACACUAUAAGCUUUGUGCUUUCACAAUCUUCUGUUACGUAGUACUCCCUUUGAACUUAUACCACAACACUUAUUUUAGAUCGAAGGGAGUAGUAGGCUGGUUGUAAUGGGAGUAUCAUAAUUAGUAUCAUGCAUGUCAACUAGGCAAUUUUGAUAAGGCGUCAUAGAAUAAAAUGAAGAAAUAGAGGGUUAAGUAGUAGCAUAUCAUGAUACAGUAUCAUAAUAAAUGCUAUGCUACUACUCCCUCUUUUCUGGUUUAUAAGGCUCAAAUCUGAAAUCUCAUCAAUCAAGGCAUUUUAUGAGUGGAGGAAUGUAUCUCGUACUUUACAAAACUACCCCAAUUAAACUCAUGCAUUAAAUUGGAUUAAUUGCAGUGCAUGCAUGCUUGGCCACUAGAUAAGUAGAAACAUUACAUGCAUUGCUGUGUUCCUUUUUAAUUCUUACAAGCAAAGAUUUAAUGCGUCUCGAAAACUAAAAAUGAGAUGGAGAUGAGACCUAUAAAUCGGAAAAACAAAAAAGUUGAGAUAAGCCCUAUAAACAGGAAAGGAGGGAGUAUGUGUUAUGCAUGGCAAUAAAUAAAGUACUACAUGGUACUAAUAUAUGAUACUAUGCAUUAGGCAGGUAGUAUCACACACUACUAUCAUAUGCAUGAUACUAGUAUAUGAUACUACCCAUUACAACCAGCCGUAUAUUUAUUAAUUUAUUAUAUGAAUUGGUGAUCAGCUUAGAUAGGCUAUGAGGGUGCAUCAGUGCAUGCAUGCAUGACAAGCUUGGCAGCAUUUGACCAGAGGGGUUUCAGAAAACUAAUGGAAAUGAGCAUCGAGAUCCGAGGUUUUUGGGUAUGCGCACCUGCGCAGCUCUGUUGAUCAAGCACCCAGGUACGUCCUCCUCCUGUGGGCAUCUUGCAGCAGGCUGAUGCGCACGCCAUACGAUGAGCUCUCUGCCAAUCCAUGUCAGGAUCACACGGGCCUCAGACAUCACCAUGCAUGCAGAGAUGGAUGCUUCCGUUGGUGAUGUGAUCAACAGAGCACCCAGCAUCGGUCCAUACCUGCUGCGUAAUUGCUAUGAUGACAGAUAGCACUGUGUGUCAAAAUGUGUUUGGAACCACUGAGCAAGUGAGCAUACGUGUGGUUAAUUAGGUAUUACAAAACUGAAUAUCGAAAAGGAAAUAUAGCGAUCGACUCGAGGGAUUUAGUUACGUGGAAGAAAAUCCGACGCGGAAAAUUGUUCACAACAAAGCUGCCAGCAUGGUGCACAAGUGAAAAGCUGAACACCUGAAAUAUCCUGGUGAGAGCUAGGCAUGUGAUCAGUGUGAACUAGAUUAUUGACUAGAAUGUUGAUGAGACGGUGGUUUUCUAUAGGCAUGGAGACUUUCAAGUUCAAACACAGUGCAGAUUCAUUUGCAAGGUGGCCAGAAUAUGCAUACAGAAAAAAAGAUUUCAUUUCCCUUUGAGAUGCAGCUUAGUCAGGAAACAUAUCAAACCGAACCACUAAUUCAGAUUCAGAUACGACCAAUUCAAGAGUUAAUUCAGAUUCAGGUACAACUCCAGACGACUGUUGUCAUGCGUCGGGAUGCGCGCGCAUAUGGACGGACCCAAAAGCCUUAAUUACUCAAACAGGCUGUCAUUUGAACGUUUCGUCACACACACCACACGCUUCCCAUGUGCAAACCCUAGCUAGCUCAAAAAACCUGCGAGAACAUUGUUGCCCUGUCCUCAGCCACCUUUGAGGUUUUAACCCAGAGAGAGAGACAGGACACGGCCCCAGGGCCUAUAAAUAGCCGCUCUCGCAGCAAGAGAGACACCAAACCAAACACAAAGGACUUCCAGGAGCCCCCAGCACCCCAGGCACAAGAAAGUAGUGUUAUUAGUUCGAGUAGAACAUCACAUCUCACCUGAAGAUGUCUUCUGGGUCGUCGUCUCGGAGCAACUCCCCGAGCUCGGACUCGGAGUGGAGCAAGGAGAACAAGAUGUUCGAGGAGGCGCUCGCCUACUACGGCGUGAGCUCCCCCAACCUCUGGGAGAAGGUGGCCAGCGCCAUGGGGGGUACCAAGUCUGCUGAGGAGGUGCGCCGCCACUUCCAGAUCCUUGUCGACGACAUCAACAACAUCGAGCACGGCCGCAUCCCCUUCCCCAAGUACAAGACCCAAGGAUUCUGGACCUAGUAAAAGGUAUAAUUCUCAACGGGCAUAGGAUACUCUGAUGUUAACAAAGUUUUCAGUUGAGCAUAACCGUACCAGUUACUGCUGUAUUUGUCUGCUUCCUGGGAAAAGUAUGCUACGCAUGACUGUGUCGUUUGCAUAAAGAUGUUUUUUUAACUCUAAAGGCAUAGCAUGCAGGGGUAUUUAUGUAUUUUUCUUUUUAUUUAGGCGUUACUUACCACCAUGCAUACAUGAUGACUGGCACCAUCAACUCUAUGAGCCAAACUGCUUAAUUGCAGCCACCCUGGCCCAAUUUAUCGGUGGUUAAUCUUAGCACUAUCAGACAAUUUCCCUACUUUCAGAACAAAAACUUGGAUGGGUCUCGAAGUCUUUCUCUAAAUAGGCUUUCACGACACUUUAUAAAUAAAGCAACUAACCAAUCCUAGCAAGGUGGCGAAAAAUAAAAGUUUGUUGGGGCAACAACACAAGCAUGCCCAAAGAAAACACAAAAGAAAAGCGAAAAAAGGUCACCAAGUGGCCACAACAUCGUUGGGUCACCGGUGGAGCGAUGCGCCAAGCCGUGUCAUGUAGUGCGUCCAACAUCUGCCCCAGCCAGUCCCAGUCCUGCUGCCUAACCAACAGGUGCCGGUGCUGCAAGAACACAAGAAAUUUGAAGAAGGCAUCAGAGGCCUGUCGAAUGAGUCUUUCUCCCUCGUGCUUUCAACUCGCAAGACUAUUUCUUUUAAUAAAUUUUCUCUAGAUCUUAUGCUAUCUAGAUACACAUUUGCCUAACCUCAUGCCUACACAGAACAAAACAAAAGAAAGAAAGAACAAGCCCCUUUCAUUUGAGUAUCUGUAUUUUUGUUCAGAGUUUAGAUAAGCUUACAGUGCAAGUGUUUUCAUGUUUUCAGGAUGAAGCUGUAUAAACUCCAGUGGUGGACAUUGAACAAAGUUGUACAAACUUCAUCUCUUAGGAAGCAAUCAACCCAACAUUGGUUAGAAUAACAUGAGGAAAAGGAGUAUUGUCUAUUGUGUGUACAAAGUAUUAUUAGUUUAAGGUGAAGUCUGUCCCUAUGUUGUUGUAGGUUCUCGUUUACAUUCAUGUACUGUGUGUUGUCUAUUAGAGUAUAUUGGUAUAUCUCUCUAUCUCCUAACUUAUCUCUAGGAUUUGUAAUACAUCUCUCUUAUGUUAAACAGUGUUCCUAGGAAGUUGUUUAAAGGCAGAAGGGGAGUAAGGCAGGGUGAUCCGUUCUCAAUUACUAUUUGUUUUCGCGGCUGCUUUUUUACAGGCCAUAUUGAAUAAUGCCAUGGACAUGAGCAUUUUGCAGCCCCC